CUAAGAAUAUUCCGCAAUGGACGGAAGUCUGACGGAGCGACGCCGCGUGGAUGACGAAGGCCGAAAGGUUGUAAAGUUCUUUUGCUGGGGAAGAAUAACCGCAGGAGGGAAUGCCUGUGGGAUGACAAGAACCGGCGAAUAAGCCCCGGCCAACUACGUGCCAGCAGCCGCGGUAACACGUAGGGGGCGAGCGUUGUUCGGAAUUACUGGGCGUAAAGGGCAUGUAGGCGGCUUGGAAAGCCUGGCGUGAAAGUCUGCAGCUUAACUGCAGGGGUGCGCUGGGAACUGCUGAGCUUGAGUGACGGAGAGGGAGCUGGAAUUCCUGGUGUAGGGGUGAAAUCUGUAGAUAUCAGGAAGAACACCGAUGGCGAAGGCAAGCUCCUGGCCGAUGACUGACGCUGAGGUGCGAAAGUGUGGGGAUCAAACAGGAUUAGAUACCCUGGUAGUCCACACAGUCAACGACGUGCACUAGGUGCUGGGGCGGUAGCUUCGGUGCCGGAGCGAACGUGGUGAAGUGCACCGCCUGGGGAGUAUGCUCGCAAGGGUGAAACUC
rnacentral:rRNA from 1 species